GAUCCUUCCCUUAUAUUUGAGUCUAUUUUUCACUGCCAUGGCUUCUGGAAAGCUGGAAUUCUAUCCCAGAGGCUUGAUUUGAGGAGAAUACCAGAAGAUUUCCAUCUCCUUUGGAUUAAACGAGGCAUCUGGAGAUUGUGCCAGCUCCAACAGAAGAGGCUAACCCUGCGAGGAUCCUGAGGCAUCCAGAGAUGGACCAGUUCCAGCUGGAUUCUGCUGGGUUUCUUUCUCGUUAUUCGGCAUCCAGGAGGAUGGAGGGAUCCAGGGCAUGAGCGGCCUGAGGAAGGUUACUGCAGGGCUAAUGAGCUCUCCUGGGGGUACUGCGAUUUUACUUAUUUAUUUAUUUUUUUUAAUAAUCGUAACAGAAUCCGACCAAAAAACACACGUCUCGUUCUGACCCCCCUCAUUAAUCCACCCCUACACACGACAGCUUAUUUACUGAACGGCUCAGACCCAACACCCCAAUGCUACAGCCCAAAGGUCAUGGCUCAGCUGAAUAACAGGUUUUAAGAACACACACCGGUGUGUGUCGGGGUCAUUAGGAGAGGAGCGAGUCGUCCAUCAG